rnacentral:lncRNA from 1 species
GCUUUCCAAAGUUUCCACCAACUCCCCGGGCGAAGGGCGGGGGAGAGGCGAGCGCUGGGCAAUAUUAGAAUUAAAAGUUACUUUUCCGAAGGCGCCUCCGGGUCGGCCGUCCGACGGGCUGCAGAGCGCCAGGGCGAGAGGAGUCGACUUCGUCCCCCAGCGCCCGCCCCGCCUCGUGUGCCAAGGGCGUUGCCCAGAGAGGUGUGAUUUUACGUGGAAGCCCUCCCCUCCGAGAUGCCUUCACCUGCAGCUUACAGGGGAACAGAAGUCCUCCAGGAUUGAUGGGUUGGAACUCACUUCAGAUGUGGCCAAAAGAUCACUGAUCUCCAGAUCAUAUUUAGCUCUCAUGAAACAUAUAUCUGAACAGACUGCAAAAGAACUGCCUUUUAGUCAAAGCUCAUCUACGGUCCGGCCUGAACAGCCCUGAACAGUCAUUCCCUGCACUGGAGAGGCAUUCUUCCCUCUUCAAGGCCCUCUGAAUAGGUACUGGCUGUGCCUGGACAACACUGUUUUCCCA